CGCGUAGGCGGUAAUGUAAGUCAGAUGUGAAAUCCUUCGGCUCAACUGAAGAACUGCAUCUGAAACUGCAUAACUAGAGUACAGAAGAGGGAAACGGAAUUCCCGGUGUAGAGGUGAAAUUCGUAGAUAUCGGGAGGAACACCAGUGGCGAAGGCGGUUUCCUGGUCUGAUACUGACGCUGAGGCGCGAAAGCGUGGGGAGCAAACA
rnacentral:rRNA from 1 species